rnacentral:rRNA from 1 species
CGUAGGUAAUGUACCUUUGGUGGGGAAUAACAGUCGGAAACGACUGCUAAUACCGCAUAAUGCAGCGGCAUCGCAAGAUGACAGUUGUUAAAGGAGUAAUCCGCCUGAAGAGCAGCCUGCGGCAGAUUAGCUAGUUGGUAAGGUAAUGGCUUACCAAGGCUACGAUCUGUAACCGACCUGAGAGGGUGGUCGGUCACACUGACACUGAAUAACGGGUCAG